CGGCGACGGGCGGCAGGGCCGGCCGGCCACAGGGGCGGCGAUGGGCGGGGCUCUGGCGGCGAGUGGAACUCGGGAGAAUAGAAGGCAGAAUAGAAUAAAACGUUUUUUUAUGUAACCAGUGGCAUUGGUGGGUAAUUACCCACCAACUCCACGAGGAGGUUCAAAAGAGAGGUUUCUGGAACAGCAAAAGAGGUGCUCCAAAACUCCACCUCCAUUUGCACUACAGCUCCAUGGAGUUGGCAACUCCAUGGAGUUUUGGAGUUGGGGUGUUUGGCUAAAUUUUUUGAUGGAGUUGCUGGAGUUUAGGA
rnacentral:lncRNA from 1 species